AGCUCCAAUAGCGUAUAUUAAAGUUGUUGCAGUUAAAAAGCUCGUAGUUGAAUUUCUGGCCAGUCGGGUGCUGUGCUUCGGCCGGUUCACGAUUUGGUCAUCCGUAGGGGAAACCUAUUCGGCCUUCACUGGUCGGUAGGCGGAAUCUACAAUUUACUGUGAAAAAAUUAGAGUGUUUCAGGCAGGCAAUCGCUUGGAUACUCCAGCAUGGAAUAAUGGAAUAGGACUUUUGUCUAUUUGUUGGUUCAAGGCAAAAGUAAUGAUUAACAGGGACAGUUGGGGGCAUUCGUAUUUAAUUGUCAGAGGUGAAAUUCUUGGAUUUAUUAAAGACGAACUUAUGCGAAAGCAUUUGCCAAGGAUGUUUUCA
rnacentral:rRNA from 1 species